rnacentral:misc_RNA from 1 species
CGCCUAAGAGCUUUCGCCUUCGCCAGGCUUGAGAGCUUGUGCUGCUUUAUCCUUCCUUGGAUGUCUGAAACUUGUAUGCGUUGGAUAACCUUUUGAAUUGCAUGUAACUGUCGUUGUUUGUGGUUGGGAGGUACCCAUCUAAUACUGUUGUGGUCUUGUUGUUUGAGGUCAUUUGAUGAUCGUGCGUCUACUGGAUUUGUGAUCUUUGAAUAUAUGUUUUGAAGGAAUUUUGGUUGGUUGAAUCACUUUAAUAUUUGUAGUUGAGUAUGAUUUCCAACUCAUAAUUUAAGAAAUACAUUUUGUAGUACAGUUUCUAGGAACAUUUUAUUUUAUUUUGUAUACUUUUCAAAAAAGAAAUAUAUGUAUGUGCCAUUCAAUACUUGGGAAAUUGGCCUGUUACUUGUUUCUCAAAACAUUCGCAGU